rnacentral:rRNA from 1 species
UACGGAGGGUGCAAGCGUUAAUCGGAAUUACUGGGCGUAAAGCGUGCGCAGGCGGUUCUAUAAGACAGAUGUGAAAUCCCCGGGCUCAACCUGGGAACUGCAUCUGUGACUGUAUAGCUAGAGUACGGUAGAGGGGGAUGGAAUCCGCGUGUAGCAGUGAAAUGCGUAGAUAUGCGGAGGAACACCGAUGGCGAAGGCAAUCCCCUGGACCUGUACUGACGCUCAUGCACGAAAGCGUGGGGAGCAAACGAGG